rnacentral:rRNA from 1 species
GACGAACGCUGGCGGCGUGCUUAACACAUGCAAGUCGAACGGAAGGACCAGAACUUUGUUUCGUACUCGAUUGGCGAAGGGGUGAGUAACACAUGUGUAAAAUCCCCUUCACUGUGUGGGAAAAUUUCGGAACUCCGGCGAAUACCGGGGAUGAACUUCUGAUCCGCAUGGUUUAAAAGUGAAAUUCGGUUUUGAUGUCACUUCUCGGUGUAUCCGCGCUGCAUUAGCUAGUUGGUAUGGUAACGGCUUACCAAGGCAACGAUGGAUAGCCGACGUGAGGGGGGGUUCGGCGACACUGGAGCUGUGACGCGGUCCUGGGACCUACGGGAGGCAGCAGCAGGGACGCGUCGGCGAUGGGCGGAAGCCUGACGGAGCGGCGGCGCGUGAGUGAUGAGAGGCCUCGGAGCGUAAAACGCUGUUAUGGGUGAAAAACAUAUGUGUAAGGAACUGUGCACAUCGUGACGGUACCUGAUCAAAAAGCCACGGCUAACUACGUG